rnacentral:rRNA from 1 species
AACGGCCAUAUCAUGCUGAAUAUACCGAUUCUCGUUAGAUCACCGAAGGCAAGCAUCAUUGGGUGCGGUUAGUACUUGGGUGGGCGACCACCUGGGAACACCGCGUGCCGUU